UACGGAGGGUGCAAGCGUUAUCCGGAUUCACUGGGUUUAAAGGGUGCGUAGGUGGGCAGGUAAGUCAGUGGUGAAAUCUUCGAGCUUAACUCGGAAACUGCCGUUGAUACUAUCUAUCUUGAAUACCGUGGAGGUGAGCGGAAUAUGUCAUGUAGCGGUGAAAUGCUUAGAUAUGACAUAGAACACCAAUUGCGAAGGCAGCUCGCUACACGAAUAUUGACUCUGAGGCACGAAAGCGUGGGGAUCAAACAGG
rnacentral:rRNA from 1 species